GACAGAGGCCUCGAGCGUUAGGCGGAAUCACUGGGCUUAAAGCGUGUGUAGGCGGGCCCGUAAGUGUCUUGUGAAAUCCCACGGCUCAACCGUGGAACUGCUGGGCAUACUGCGGGUCUUGGGCCAACUAGGGGCAGCCGGAACAAGCGGUGGAGCGGUGAAAUGCGUAGAUAUCUGGAGGAACACCGGUGGCGAAGGCGGCAUCCUGGACCAACACUGACGCUGAGUGAGCGAAAGCCAGGGGAGCAA
rnacentral:rRNA from 1 species